GUGCUAAUACCGCAUGUGAUCUUCGGGAUUUAAAAGGGAUUUUAUCCGGUUUGGGACUGGCCUGCGUACGAUUAGAUAGUUGGCGGGGUAAUAGCCCACCAAGUCGACGAUCGUUAGAUGGUUUGAGAAGAUGAUCAUCCAGACUGGGACUGAGACACGGCCCAGACUCCUACGGGAGGCAGCAGUAGGGAAUCUUUCACAAUGGGCGAAAGCCUGAUGGAGCAACGCCGCGUGCAGGAUGACGGCCUUCGGGUUGUAAACUGCUUUAUAAGCGAGAAAUAUGAUGGUAACUUAUGAAUAAGGACCGGCUAACUACGUGCC
rnacentral:rRNA from 1 species